rnacentral:precursor_RNA from 8 species
CAAGCGACCCCUAGAGUGGGGGUUGUGGGGGGUCACUCUAGGCCCCGCAGCACUGUGCUGGAUGUUGCAGCUGCCUAGGAGUGAUUUCACACAGUCCUCUCGGCCUCAAGGGUCGCCC